CAACACCAAGACCCAAGAAGGAUGCCUGGGGCCCAGGGGAAAUGUGAGAGUUAUACGUGGGUCCUAAGGCCUGCGUCAUGGGGAGUAACGAUGCCUUCAGAGGAGCAUCUGGGGAGAAAUAUCCAUGAGGAAACUUCCUGGAGAUCUCUUCCUUAGCCAGGGCUUUUCCUACAGCAGGGAGCAAAUGGGCCUCGAAUAAGAACUUCAGGAUCUGAUCACAUAAGUUUAAAAGUUUCCAUUUCUUCUGGAGGAUAAAUCCAUGUCACUGUAUUUUAAAAUGCUUGAACUCCAAAAUACACCAACCGGCUACUGCUAGUAUUAUACAUAUAUCAAACAAGGAGACAUCCAAAAUGGUAAUAGGAUGACGCAGAGCUGCAUGCCUCCAAGGAAGCCCCAGGUUUCACAAUCGAGGCAGGUUCUCAAGAGAUCCAGUUUCCAGUAUCUUGGGAGAGAAGCACCAUCAAAACAUAGGAAACCCAGAUGUAAAUGCCUUUAAUGCAGAGCAAAGAGGAAUGGGUACUAAAAUCAA